AACAAUUUUUUUUUUUCUUCUUUUUGCUCUUCAUUCAGUUGGAUUUGUGCAAAAUCCCCCCCUUUUUUUUUUCUUUCUUCUUCUUCAUUCUUCUCUCUUUACUUCUCAAACGGUUUCAAUUUUCGGUUUUGAUAAAUCAGUUUCCUUAAUUCGAAUUGAAAUAGUGCAGGUGAGAUAGCUCGGAUUCUGGUGGAAUUCCUGGAGGUUGCAAUCACUUCAGUCGUUUUCCUCAAAGGAAUUUACCCUCCAGGUGCUUUUGAAAGAAGGAAAUAUAUGAAUUUGGUGGUUCAUAGAGCUCGUCACCCUGAAUUCAGAGAUUACAUCCAUUCCGCUGUCUCGGGACUUCUUCCUUUUAUCCAAAUGAUUGCUCCUUUACUUAUUUAUUUCUUCUAAAACUUUUUUUAUACAUGAGCUUAUCAUCUUUGCUUAGAAAUGAUUUGCAACCAAAUUGGGUGAAAAGUUUGAAGAAUGUGUUUCUACUUGAACCAAAGUUUUGCCACUUUUUCUGUAUGUUUUUAUUUGUUUUUCCACUUAAAGAACAUUUUCACUGAGACAGAGAAUACAUCUUACAAACUAGGGUCUCGUGGAGAGAGUAGCUGUUAUUUUCUUUGACGGGGACAACAUCCCUGUGGAAAGAUUUAUGUUUAAGCUCAGUGUGAAUCAAUCGCAUGGCUCGAGGGUGGAAGAAGCUGACCUGGAGUUCUCACUAAGGUCAUUUUUUAUCAAGCUUCCUGUCGCAGAACCCCUUACCAAGGCUCUUCCCCAGAGUAAAUCCUAAAGCUUUCUACCAGAUGGUUUGGUUUAAUUGGUUAAUUAAUGACCAGAUGCUUACAUUGUUUCUGGGAUUAUGAACUAUAGUUUGGUUUAAUGUCUCGUUUCCUUUAGUCAUCAAUCACGGCUAGCUAUGUAAGCUUCUCGUUUCUAUUUGUUGCCUGCAAUGUUUUUUUACUCUUCUGCAUGCUUGUCGUAGAACAGCAAGAAAACAUAUGAUCAGUUUGUUGGUUUUUCUUACUUGAUGUUGGUAAGGGACUGAUUUACUGAACUCAGUAAAAUGAAAGUUAAGUUAC